CCUACGGGUGGCAGCAGUGAGGAAUAUUGGUCAAUGGACGAGAGUCUGAACCAGCCAAGUCGCGUGAAGGAUGACUGCCCUAUGGGUUGUAAACUUCUUUUAUAUGGGAAUAAAAUGUUCCACGUGUGGGAUUUUGUAUGUACCCUAUGAAUAAGGAUCGGCUAACUCCGUGCCAGCAGCCGCGGUAAUACGGAGGAUCCGAGCGUUAUCCGGAUUUAUUGGGUUUAAAGGGAGCGUAGGUGGAUUGUUAAGUCAGUUGUGAAAGUGUGCGGCUCAACCGUAAAAUUGCAGUUGAAACUGGCAGUCUUGAGUACAGUAGAGGUGGGCGGAAUGCGUGGUGUAGCGGUGAAAUGCUUAGAUAUCACGAAGAACUCCGAUUGCGAAGGCAGCAUGCCGGCUUCCGACUGACGCUGAAGCACGAAAGCGUGGGGAUCGAACAGGAUUAGAUACCCUUGUAGUC
rnacentral:rRNA from 1 species